AUUGAACGCUGGCGGCAUGCCUUACACAUGCAAGUCGAACGGCAGCACGGGAGCAAUCCUGGUGGCGAGUGGCGAACGGGUGAGUAAUAUAUCGGAACGUGCCCAGUCGUGGGGAUAACGUAGCGAAAGCUACGCUAAUACCGCAUACGAUCUAUGGAUGAAAGCGGGGGAUCGCAAGACCUCGCGCGAUUGGAGCGGCCGAUAUCAGAUUAGGUAGUUGGUGAGGUAAAGGCUCGCCAAGCCGACGAUCUGUAGCUGGUCUGAGAGGACGACCAGCCACACUGGGACUGAGACACGGCCCAGACUCCUACGGGAGGCAGCAGUGGGGAAUUUUUGGACAAUGGGCGCAAGCCUGAUCCAGCAAUGCCGCGUGCAGGAUGAAGGCC
rnacentral:rRNA from 1 species